CCCUUAGAUGUCCGGGGCCGCACGCGCGCUACACUGAAGGAAUCAGCGUGGCUUUCUCCCUGACCCGAAAGGGUUGGGAAACCCGUUGAAUCUCCUUCGUGAUAGGGAUUGGGGCUUGAAAUUGUUCCCCAUGAACGAGGAAUUCCCAGUAAGCGCGAGUCAUAAGCUCGCGUUGAUUACGUCCCUGCCCUUUGUACACAGCGCCCGUCGCUACUACCGAUUGAACGGUUUAGUGAGGGCCUCGGAUUGGUCUCGGCCCGCUCUUUACCGGGCGGCGCCGUUGGUCGAGAAGACGCUCGAACUUGAUCGUUUAGAGGAAGUAAAAGUCGUAACA
rnacentral:rRNA from 1 species